GUCUGUUCAAAUUCUGGAGAGGCUGACAUAGCAUUUUUUAUAUGCAUUUUUGACUUUACCUCCCUGAGAUUCUUACCAUCUCUGAGGUUCCCCCAAGAGUGGAAAGUGGUGUGUGCAUUUGGGUUUUUGUCUGUGCGGGAUGUGCUGUUUGGCUUUGCUGUUGUGCCUUCGAGGGUGUAUUGGUGUGGGUUGGGGUGGAGGGAGUAGUGUUGCGAAUUUAUGUUCCCAGUGUGGCUUUGCAGCUUUGGUGUGCCUCAGAGGUGCCUAUAUGGUGUCAGAGGGACUAGCAGGGGGCAUCUGGGGGUGAGCUGGAUAGUAAUGCCCCCUACGUCCUGUUUAAGGAUAGCUUAACUCUGGGAUGACUUUACACUGAGGUGAGUGACUAGGAAGCAGAAAAUGCCCUUAUUCAAAAAGGCAAAGAGCAGAACAGCAAAAUACGCAAUGCAGAUAUUCACCAAGAUGGUCCUCCGAGUGGAAGGGACUUGUGAACUACUCCUGUGGGGUAACCAUGAAGCUGUUCCUCAUUAAUGUCCAGACAAAUGUGGAGCAAUUUCUCAGUCGUAGAUUUUACUUUAUCUCCCCUGCAGACAUGGUAGUGCAGAGAAAAACAGGGUUCUGCAAUGAUUGUCUGAAACAUUCACUGUUAUCAGUCGUUAUCUAUGGGUACGUCUGCAGUGCAACACCCCCUUUCUUUCCCCCUCCUCGCUCCGCAGGAGCAAGUCUCAGAGCUUGGGUCAAAUUGAUUUGGGUUCACAGGGCUCAAGCUACAGGGCUAAAAAUAGCCACGUAGAUGUUCCCACUCAGGCUGGAGCCCAAGCUCUGAAACCCAGCAAAGGGGGAGGGUCCUGGAGCCUAAGCUCCAGCCUGAACUUAAAUGUCUACACUGCUAUUUUUAGCCCCGCAGGUUGAGCCCUGCAAACCAGAGUCAGUUGACCGAAGCUCUGAGACUUGCUGCUAUGGGGUGUUUUGUUGUAGUGUAGAGGCACCCUGGGUGAGCCUGUGAAAAGGCAUUAAGAGCUUUGUAUCCCUACAGUAAAGGUUUUGUACUGUAAUGUGUUACAGGGCUUUUAUUACCUCAGCAGGAGCUGUGGUCUUUGUAACUUUAUGGGUCUACAGUGUCCAUGUCUACCUCAUGUAAACUGAGAAUAUGAACCAAAUUUCUUUUCCCAUAAUCAGUGUCUCAAUAAACUUCUGAAUUUUGCACAAAAUACCAUUUUCAUUAUUUAGUUCUGCUGCAGAAGGGGGCAGGGUAGAGUCUGGGGCUGUGCCAUGCUACUGGCCAACAUUGUGAACUAGUCGACCGGGUUUUUGGGAGGAGUGGGGUGUUUGCUGGGUGAGGGAAAGGGAAACAAAAAUAGGUAAAUGGGCAUGUGCACUCUAUGGUGUGGGCCUAAAAAUGGCCACUAGCUGGAGCUUUAGCAUGAGACAGAAGCUGGUUGCCCAGCUGGAGCAGCCACCAUUUUGAAAAUGUGUAUGGGGAUGCUGAAUGGACACCAUGGGGGGAGAAAGGAGGGCAGGUGGGGAGCCUCAGACUUGGAAAGGCUCCUAGCUCACAUCUGCCUACAAUGCCUCUGGUCAUGGGGCACCCGGAACAGAAGGUAGCAUGGCAGUAGAACACAAUUGUAAAGAGAGAUUGAGAUUCCCUCUGUAAGAUCUGCCUCCUCAGUCCUGGCCUGAGUUGCUGCCUGGGACUUGGGGUUGGUUGCUGCAGGGUAGGAAUCAGGCCCCUCUUCUACCUGGUCGGUUUCAGAGUCCUGAGUCCUAAAAAGAUCCUGGCUUUCCCAGGAAAUCUCUACAGUGGCCGCCUCAUGUUCAUCCCCUGAUGAGCCUUGCUUGUUGUUCUUGGGACAGAGGGGAGUGGCAGCAGACUUCACAACUUUCCUAGGUUUGGUGGUUAUGUAGAUGUUUAAAAUCCUGUCCAACUCCUGAAAAAAAUGGACAGGUUAUAUGUCCCCUGCCAGAUGUUUUCCUGGCAUCCCUGGUUUUAAUACAAGUCGUCCUGAGCUCUUUGUUCUUUAUCUGGCAUUGGUUGGCAUCCCAGUAAUGAUCCCUUUGGGACAUCUGCUUAGCAAUGUUCACAACAAGAUCUUUAUUCCAGUGGCUGGCCAUAAGAGCUUUUAGCAUUGAUGCUUCUCCCCACAUGGCCAUGAGAUCCAGCAUGGCUUCAAGCAGCUUCUUCAGCCAUGUUGUAGGACUUCUGGUGUAAUAUCACAGUAAUUGUGAUAUUCUCAAAUCCAGGGAAAUGGGCAAAAUUUGGCCCUAUACCAGCUUUAAAUGGGGGAGGGGACAUCUGGUUAACUUGACACCAGAGCAGGAGAGGGCACACAGAUAAACAGACAGAUCAGUGACGGUUGCCUGCAAAGCAGUGUGGGAUAGCUGUUGGAGGAUUGCCAAAGCAGUGCUCAGCAGCAUUAUGUGCAC